rnacentral:rRNA from 1 species
AAGGUUAAGGGGAAGGGUCAUCCGGCACUCAACUAUACCUAUUAGGAGUGAAAAAAAUGUAUUAUGUCUAUAUAAUAAAGAAUGAAAAAGGAGGCAUAUAUACAGGCUAUUCAGAGAAUAUAAAGAAAAGAUUAGAAGCUCAUAAUAAAGGACUAAACAAAUACACAAAAGGGCAUAAAUGGGAACUAAUAUACUAUGAAGCAUAUAAAGCAAAAGAAGAUGCCCAAAAGAGAGAAAAGCAAUUAAAAAAAUCUCAUAAUGCAAGAAGAUGGUUAAAAGAAAGAAUAGCCAAAAGCAUAAACUCUUAGUAGAUAGAGUUGAGUGCCGGAGAAGCUCUGAACUUAAGCCCC